AAAAGCAAUGAAGGCUUUGGCUGUUCCACUUUACAAUUCAAUUAUAACAAUAAGUGCAUGUUCAUGUAUGUAAAUCUGAUCAUUCUGGACAUUCUGAUAAAUCUUUGAUACUGUUGACAUCAGUGCACUCAUUCAUAUCAAGGGAAAGGAGGGAGUUUUGAACAAAACAUUUAUGUGGUUUCAAAGCCAGACUGCUUGGCAGCUUUAUAGAACAAUGACGCCACAUUUUUUGAAAAGGGAAUGUCCUUCUGUUUCUACUGAUGUGAAAUGAUUCUUGAGUUCCUGAAAUAAAGAAGACAAAGUAUAAUGAUGCCCACUGGGUUCUAAGGGUUAAUUUGCUUACAUAAGACAUAGAAAAAAGGUUAUACAUUCAGUGUAUUCCAUACGCUGCUUGUAAAAUGAACAUCUUCCCUUUCUUUCUCUUCCCUUUGUAAUUUGUCAUUUAGUUUUUCUUGGUAACAUAGCCCAGAUGCAGACAGCAGCAGUAUACAUUGUAAUUGUACUGAUCUUCAUAGCAGUGGUGAGUUUCAUCAGUGCUGCUGUAUUAGCUGUCUGCCGUCUCUGGAUACGUUUGAUUGUAUGUCUAGACGUAUUCACUGCUGCACUGCUUGGACUACUUCUCAGUAGCACUAAAGACAAUUUUGAAUACAUCUUGGAGAUACCGUCUGUGGUACCACCUCUGAUCGUGGGGAUGAUGAUAGUUGUUACUCUCCAAAGGCACAUUUUUCAAGGAAAACCCUUUGAUUGUUUCCAUAUUACUCUGUCAUCUGUAAUUGUGACUAUAUUCAGCCUCAGUGAAAUUUGUUUUUAUAUGAUUCUCUUUAUUACGUCAAAAAAGUUUU